rnacentral:rRNA from 1 species
GUCGAACGAGAGAGAAGGAGCUUGCUUCUUCGAUCGAGUGGCGAACGGGUGAGUAACGCGUGAGGAACCUGCCUCAAAGAGGGGGACAACAGUUGGAAACGACUGCUAAUACCGCAUAAGCCCACGGGUCGGCAUCGACCUGAGGGAAAAGGAGCAAUCCGCUUUGAGAUGGCCUCGCGUCCGAUUAGCUAGUUGGUGAGGUAACGGCCCACCAAGGCGACGAUCGGUAGCCGGACUGAGAGGUUGAACGGCCACAUUGGGACUGAGACACGGCCCAGACUCCUACGGGAGGCAGCAGUGGGGAAUAUUGCACAAUGGGGGAAACCCUGAUGCAGCGACGCCGCGUGGAGGAAGAAGGUCUUCGGAUUGUAAACUCCUGUUGUUGAGGAAGAUAAUGACGGUACUCAACAAGGAAGUGACGGCUAACUACGUGCCAGCAGCCGCGGUAAAACGUAGGUCACAAGCGUUGUCCGGAAUUACUGGGUGUAAAGGGAGCGCAGGCGGGAAGACAAGUUGGAAGUGAAAUCUAUGGGCUCAACCCAUAAACUGCUUUCAAAACUGUUUUUCUUGAGUAGUGCAGAGGUAGGCGGAAUUCCCGGUGUAGCGGUGGAAUGCGUAGAUAUCGGGAGGAACACCAGUGGCGAAGGCGGCCUACUGGGUACCAACUGACGCUGAGGCUCGAAAGUGUGGGUAGCAAACAGGAUUAGAUACCCUGGUAGUCCACACCGUAAACGAUGAUUACUAGGUGUUGGAGGAUUGACCC